CAUAUCUCUCUUACGGGAAGGAUGAGAAGCUUCGACUAAGGUUCGAUUCGAGCGAAAGCGAGAAAGCGUUGCCGCAGGCAACGACCCGAAUGGCGAAGCGCGCAGCGCUGAGUCAUCCUUCCCCCACCACCA
rnacentral:sRNA from 1 species